rnacentral:rRNA from 1 species
UAGGGAAUCUUCCACAAUGGGCGCAAGCCUGAUGGAGCAACACCGCGUGAGUGAAGAAGGGUUUCGGCUCGUAAAGCUCUGUUGUUAAAGAAGAACACGUAUGAGAGUAACUGUUCAUACGUUGACGGUAUUCAACCAGAAAGUCACGGCUAACUACGUGCUAG